rnacentral:rRNA from 1 species
GCCAGCAGCCGCGGUAAUACGGGGGGUGCGAGCGUUAAUCGGAAUAACUGGGCGUAAAGGGCACGCAGGCGGUGACUUAAGUGAGAUGUGAAAGCCCCGGGCUUAACCUGGGAAUUGCAUUUCAUAUUGGGUCGCUAGAGUACUUUAGGGAGGGGUAGAAUUCCACGUGUAGCGGUGAAAUGCGUAGAGAUGUGGAGGAAUACCGAAGGCGAAGGCAGCCCCUUGGGAAUGUACUGACGCUCAUGUGCGAAAGCGUGGGGAGCAAACAGGAUUAGAUACCCUGGUAGUCCACGCUGUAAACGAUGUCGAUUUGGGGAUUGGGCUUUGAGCUUGGUGCCCGUAGCUAACGUGAUAAAUCGACCGCCUGGGGAGUACGGCCGCAAGGUUAAAACUCAAAUGAAUUGACGGGGGCCCGCACAAGCGGUGGAGCAUGUGGUUUAAUUCGAUGCAACGCGAAGAACCUUACCUACUCUUGACAUCCAUGGAAUCUUGUAGAGAUACGAGAGUGC